rnacentral:rRNA from 1 species
GAUGAACGCUGGCGGCGUGCUUAACACAUGCAAGUCGAACGGAAAGGCUCCUGCUUGCAGGGGUACUCGAGUGGCGAACGGGUGAGUAACACGUGGGUGAUCUGCCCUGCACUUCGGGAUAAGCCUGGGAAACUGGGUCUAAUACCGGAUAGGACGAUGGUUUGGAUGCCAUUGUGGAAAGUUUUUUCGGUGUGGGAUGAGCUCGCGGCCUAUCAGCUUGUUGGUGGGGUAAUGGCCUACCAAGGCGUCGACGGGUAGCCGGCCUGAGAGGGUGUACGGCCACAUUGGGACUGAGAUACGGCCCAGACUCCUACGGGAGGCAGCAGUGGGGAAUAUUGCACAAUGGGCGCAAGCCUGAUGCAGAGACGCCGCGUGGGGGAUGACGGCCUUCGGGUUGUAAACUCCUUUCGCUAGGGACGAAGCGCAAGUGACGGUACCUGGAGAAGAAGCACCGGCUAACUACGUG